AGGCCGGUGGCAGAUUGGGAAUGCGUCUGUCUCUAAAACAGAUACCUGACGGUGCAGUUGGUUCAAUUCCAACCCGGCCUA
rnacentral:tRNA from 1 species